CGGCAGGCAGCGUGCUUCUCCUAGAAACCAUGGCGUUGGGGACGGAGCAGCACCCGCUUGAUGUGACCACGUGUACGCCCCUGAGGGCGAGCAAGACCGAUUUCUAUGACGCCAAGGUUGUGCAUGAAAACAAUCUGUAUUUAUGCUCCCAGUGGAUGAGAUGUGUCUCUAAAUUGUGAAUUAUUGGUUACACAAAGGCACAUAUCUGGAUUUUUCAGAACACAUUGUAUGGCAGUGAUCACUGAUUGGCUGUAUGGCCGGCUGCUUCAUCCGUAUCGAGGAGAAAAGCUUGAUAGCCUAAUAGAUCUAGGGCCGGAAAGGAAGAUAUCAGAUCAAUACAUCGUAGAGGAAUUUGGGAAAAGGCAGCGAUUUGUAUCUACUGACGAGAAAAGGUAAGCAAGUAAUAUUUUACAGGUAAGCAAUUGGUUUGAUCGUGUUGGGAAAGUAUUGGUCAAAAAGAAUAUGAAUGACAUCACAAGAAAAG